UGUGGCUGGCACUGGAGUAGCUGCAGUGCUUGUUGCAGUGGUUGGAAUAGCUGCAGCAUUUAUGCCUGUUGUUGGUAUGUAGUAACACAUGCCUGUCACUGGGGUUGGAGAAGCCGC